rnacentral:sRNA from 1 species
UAAAUCUUACUCCGGACCCUGGCCUGAACGCCUGCAAAUAGGAGGGUAAACGUUUGCCUUUACACACCCCUGUUGCAAUUUCGUCGUCAUUGCUUUGCGCCGGGAAAUGACACAUUACGUCAGGUGAGGGGUAAUGACUGGUACGCUUAUAAUUAAGCGUGGAAUUUUGGCCGAUUCUGAAGAAAAGUGAAAGAGAAAAAUGUGUCUCACUUUAAAUCCUGCAAGAUUUUCGCCGCAAGGUGUGUAAAAAUGGACAAGCUCACAUUUCACAAGGUUAUAACAAGGAGUAAAAAUCGAUGAGUACCGAUCUUAAGUUUUCCCUGGUCACCACGAUCAUUGUCCUGAGUCUGAUUGUCGCAAGUGCUCUGGUUGCUGUCCUGCACUGAUUG